AUAAAAGCAGGGGCAUGUUUUGCUCGUAAACAUGCCUCUCGUAGACUUUAGGGAAAUUACAUCCAUUGUUAUUGGGUGAGCCUCUGUGCACUUUUUUUUAUAACAGAAGGUUCAGUAAACAAUGGAACAUUU
rfam:Musa acuminata subsp. malaccensis Doubled-haploid Pahang (DH-Pahang) genomic chromosome, chr5